UACGUAGGGCGCAAGCGUUGUCCGGAAUUAUUGGGCGUAAAGAGCUCGUAGGCGGCCUGUUGCGUCCGCUGUGAAAUCCGGGGCUCAACCCCGGGCGUGCAGUGGAUACGGGCUGGCUGGAGGCAGGCAGGGGAGAACGGAAUUCCUGGUGUAGCGGUGAAAUGCGCAGAUAUCAGGAGGAACACCGGUGGCGAAGGCGGGUCUCUGGGCCAUUACUGACGCUGAGGAGCGAAAGCGUGGGGAGCAAACAGG
rnacentral:rRNA from 1 species